rnacentral:rRNA from 15 species
CGGGAGGCAGCAGUGGGGAAUAUUGCACAAUGGGCGCAAGCCUGAUGCAGCCAUGCCGCGUGUAUGAAGAAGGCCUUCGGGUUGUAAAGUACUUUCAGCGGGGAGGAAGGUGUUGUGGUUAAUAACCGCAGCAAUUGACGUUACCCGCAGAAGAAGCACCGGCUAACUCCGUGCCAGCAGCCGCGGUAAUACGGAGGGUGCAAGCGUUAAUCGGAAUUACUGGGCGUAAAGCGCACGCAGGCGGUCUGUCAAGUC